CCUACGGGAGGCAGCAGUGAGGAAUUUUGCGCACUGCUCGUAAGAGUGACGCAGCGACGCCGCGUGAAUGACGAAGGCCUUCGGGUCGUAACGUUCUUUCGACAGGGAAGAAAAUGCCUAUAAGUAACUGUGUCUGUCUUGACGGUACCUGUAUAAGCAGCCCCGGCUAACUCCGUGCCAGCAGCCGCGGUAAUACGGAGGGGGCGAGCGUUGUUCGGAGUGACUGGGCGUAAAGAGCCCGUAGGCGGUGUUGUAAGUCAUUAGUCAAAGACUAGAGCUCAACUUUAGUAAGGCUAGUGAUACUAUAAUACUAGAGUAUCAGAGAGGAUUGCAGAAUUCCUGGUGUAGCGGUGAAAUGCGUAGAUAUCAGGAGGAAUACCGUUAGCGAAGGCGGCAAUCUGGCUGGAAACUGACGCUGAGGUGCGAAAGCGUGGGUAGCAAACAGGAUUAGAUACCCCUGUAGUC
rnacentral:rRNA from 1 species